rnacentral:sRNA from 1 species
AAGCUCCGACGGCAUCAAUUGGUGAUUUGAUGGUCGCUAACGCGUCGACAGUAACCUUAAUUUGCGACUAUCAAACACCAAUUGAUGCUGUCGGAGCUU